UGGAAAAAGAUCAUGGUUGCAGUUGCUAGACAGACCAGGUACUAUUAGAGCCGCUAAUGGACGACGAGCUAUUUUCCGCUAUCCGGAGCUCGUGCUCAAGCAUUUGAGCCUGAUGGACGAGACUCCUGGGGUAAAGGAUGCAGAGAAUGAGGAGAAAACACUCGUAUGGGCGCACUGAGAAGCGGUGCGUGUGGACACAGGUGUCAAAGAUGGUGCCACCAUCAGCACGUUCUACAACCCGAUAAUCUCAAAGAUCUCACUCAGCUCUGCUCUCCGAGCAUUCUGCUUCCAACACGCCAUGACUUCCCGAAAGAAAAUGUGCUCACGCAUUAGAAGGAGGUGAAAGAUGCACCUGCAGGAGAAUACAUGCUGAAGAGAAGGCAGAAACAUGCCCGGAUCCACCAGAACUAGUGCUGGCAAGUCAACAGAGGCGAGUACUGAUAAUGUUCCAGAUUGUGGUAGGAUCACAUAAGCAAAAUUGACACUGGGAGGCACGACGGUGGGUCAGCUCAUGGCCAGCGUCAAUUCCAGUGGAUAUCACGUGCAUCCAGUUCUAGUACUAUAGUAUGACUGCUACAAAGUAGUGCGGCCCAAAUAGAACUCGGGUCAGGUGCCGAAGAACUGGAGGGGGGGGG